AUCAAAGAUGCAUGCCCAGGGCCACAGAGCCAAAAAAGGGUGGCUUUCCGUUGAAAUUGUGGAACGAGAUUACUUCAUUGAUGAUGAAGUUAGCGAGUAUGUCGAUUUACACGCGACCUCUGAAUGUGUUGUGAAUUGCGUAAGAGAAAUAAUAUAAAAACAACACAAACAACCAAUAAAAAAUCCUCAAGUCGAAGUCUAUCCUCCUUUCACGGGCGUUGAACUUCGAUGCAUUAUUUCGUCAGUUACAAAAAAGAUUCAGCUGGGUACGACGAAAUACUCUGUUCAUUAAUAAAACGUGUUACAGAUUUUAUAGUUGAACCUCUUACUUUUUUGAUUAAUCUGUCUUUUUUAGGUGUAUUUCAAAUUACCGUGGAAUAUCACUUCUAUCGGCUUUUUCCAAAAUAAUUUUUCUCAAAUUCUCAGUUUAGUUGUCGCAAUCGAUUAUCUACUCAAGACUGUUUAGUUUCCUUAUAUAAUCAAAUAGUCUCGAACCUGGAUCAGAAUAAUAAAACAUUAUGUAUGUUCUUAGACUUCAAAUGAGCUUUUGAUGUGCUUGAUAUUAAUUUGUUGUUGAAUAAGUUAAAUAAUUGCGGUAUACGGGGGAAUAGUUACGCCUGGAUUCAAUCAUUUUUGAAGGGUCGCGACCAAAGAAUUGUGCUUAGAAGUGAUACUUCUGUGGUUAGAUCCUCAUCUAUAGAACUCACCAGAGGUGUCCCACAGGGAAGCAUACUGGGGCCUUUAUUAUUUAUAAUAUUUAUUAAUGAUAUAUCUGAUUCUUUCCCAGACAAUUAUGUUUCCUUAUAUGCAGAUGAUACUGCUGUGACAGUGACACCUAGGAGUCUGGAAGAUCUCACGUUCUUGGCCACUAGGGCAGUAAGUGGUAUACCCGAUAUUCUUAGGGAUUUGAACAAGAGCUUAUCGGUUAGAAAGGAUUUUUCCUGGACAGGCCAAAUUGGCGACUGCGGUCGAGUGUGGAUCUUCAGCUUCAGCUUCAACAAAAACGUAUUGUUCGAACAAUGUUGGGGAAGUCUCGUGGUCACUCUUGUAGAACCCUGUUCCCAAAAUUAAAUAUUUUAACGGUUCCUUCUCUUUUUAUAUUAAAUAGCAUAAUUUACAUAAAGAGUCUAUCUAAUUAUUGCAUGACCAGUCAAAAGUUAGCCAAAGUAACUAACAGCUCUAUGAUUUUAUAUAAUAAGUUGCCUUUGUCCGUCAAACAGAUA